rnacentral:rRNA from 1 species
AGAGUUUGAUCCUGGCUCAGAUUGAACGCUGGCGGCAUGCCUUACACAUGCAAGUCGAACGGUAACGCGGGGCAACCUGGCGACGAGUGGCGAACGGGUGAGUAAUGCAUCGGAACGUGCCCAGUAGUGGGGGAUAGCCCGGCGAAAGCCGGAUUAAUACCGCAUACGACCUACGGGUGAAAGCGGGGGAUCGCGAGACCUCGCGCUAUUGGAGCGGCCGAUGUCAGAUUAGGUAGUUGGUGAGGUAAAGGCUCACCAAGCCUUCGAUCUGUAGCUGGUCUGAGAGGACGACCAGCCACACUGGGACUGAGACACGGCCCAGACUCCUACGGGAGGCAGCAGUGGGGAAUUUUGGACAAUGGGCGCAAGCCUGAUCCAGCCAUGCCGCGUGCGGGAAGAAGACCUUCGGGUUGUAAACCGCUUUUGUCAGGGAAGAAACGCUCUGGGUUAAUACCCUGGGGUAAUGACGGUACCUGAAGAAUAAGCACCGGCUAACUACGUGCCAGCAGCCGCGGUAAUACGUAGGGUGCAAGCGUUAAUCGGAAUUACUGGGCGUAAAGCGUGCGCAGGCGGUUUUGUAAGUCUGUCGUGAAAGCCCCGGGCUCAACCUGGGAAUUGCGAUGGAGACUGCAAAGGCUUGAAUCUGG